rnacentral:lncRNA from 1 species
GUAAGAUGGUCUGGGAGAGAGAUACUCCCAAAUCUUCUUACAACAGCUCUGCCUGCAUUUCUUGCCUGACAGUAAGUACUCCCUCUGACAGAGAGUGGCACAUAAGUUGCAUUGCUUAGAAGCCGACAGCAAAUUAUUAUCUGCAGCACGUGAGGUAUAUUUUAGAGGAACUGUGUUUCAGAAAAGUAUUGUGGAGGGCCAGAACCCUAUCGGCAGCUCAGGAGCAUAGUCUGAACAGGAAUUCCCUGGAAGCAGACCUGAUCCCAGUUGAGAUCUCCUGCCAGUUGGCUCCCUUCUCCCUGCCUGCACAGCUGUUCAUAUUGCUGUGUGAGAGACUGGGCUGGGAAACUGAUGCCACAGAGGUAUAACAUGUUCUUUAUUAUUUUGCUGUGUUGUUUGCUGUCUUAAGUGGCUCUGCUGCCAGAUGUCCAUGGUGUGGUUCAAACAUCAACCUUUGCUCAGAGCUUAUUUUUCAAGGCUCAGCACAGCCUAUUGCAAUGAAUAGCUCUUGCAUUGCUUAAAAGGAAUGUCAGAUAUUUGUAAGCAUCAUUUAUACAAAUAACAUGCUUAGUGAAUAGGAGAUACGAGGAGAUACGAGGCCUGCCAGGUAUCUUGUGUUUGUCCCCCAUUAGCUUUCUGCUCGUGUCCUUUCAAAAUCAUUCCCACUGGCUACCCUUUUUCUGGCCCUCAGAGAAGAUACUAUGUCACAAUGAGUCCCUUCUCCUUUGAGUCCUGGGAGACAGUCACAGCACCUUUGCUUACCAUCAGUGACUUCUUGGAGAGACUGAAAUCAAUCCUCAAGGAGGACUUGCUCUUUUAAGGAAAAAAAAGGCAGUGCACUUUUCAACAUGACACAAAGAGAAAUUGCCAUCUCUAGCCUUGCUCAGCCUGAAUGUGCUUCAUGAGAACAUCUGUCUCAUGAAGGUGCUUGUUCAGGAAUGGUAGUGGAAGCCCAACUCCAAUCCAUGAUGGAUAUUCUGCGCAGAUCUGCAAAACCCCAUUCGGAAUGGCUGAUGGAUGGCAUUUUUUCAACCAAAGCGUUUUUCAGAUGUGGUACAGUCCACAGGAAGCCUUUUGAAAUAGAAGAGGACUGUGGCAGCCAGCACAGCAUUGUGGUGUUAUGA